rnacentral:rRNA from 1 species
CAGCAGCCGCGGUAAUACGUAGGUGGCAAGCGUUGUCCGGAAUUAUUGGGCGUAAAGGGCUCGCAGGCGGUUUCUUAAGUCUGACGUGAAAGCCCCCGGCUCAACCGGGGAGGGUCAUUGGAAACUGGGAAACUUGAGUGCAGAAGAGGAGAGUGGAAUUCCACGUGUAGCGGUGAAAUGCGUAGAGAUGUGGAGGAACACCAGUGGCGAAGGCGACUCUCUGGUCUGUAACUGACGCUGGGGAGCGAAAGCGUGGGGAGCGAACAGGAUUAGAUACCCCCGUAGUCCCUGUCUCUUAUAC